rnacentral:ncRNA from 2 species
AUGGCGGUGACUCUUCGAGUUCCGCAGGCCUAAAACUAAAGGUCAGGGCCCCGGAACCGGUGAGCCGCAAGGCUCCGAGGGUACAGGUGGAAACGCCGGUGCCUCCCGUAUUUGGAAAGGAGAGAGACGAUGACAUUU